UACGUAGGGAGCGAGCGUUAUCCGGAUUUAUUGGGCGUAAAGCGUCCGCAGCCGGUUUAUUAAGUGUGAAAUUAAAGCCCGGGGCUCAACUCCGGUUCGUUUCACAAACUGAUAGGCUAGAGUGUAGUAGAGGCAAGUGGAAUUUCUAGUGUAGCGGUGGAAUGCGUAGAUAUUAGAAGGAACACCAGUGGCGAAGGCGACUUGCUGGGCUAUUACUGACGGUCAGGGACGAAAGCGUGGGGAGCAAAUA
rnacentral:rRNA from 1 species